rnacentral:rRNA from 1 species
UGUGGUGGAUUCACGAUCUUUAUUCUGCACUGAGUAUUUCUGUUUGGUUCAAGCGUGUCAUUAUGGUGUUGUUGUUCGUGAUUAUAAAAAUUCCCAUUAUGGCGAUUCUUGUGUGUUGUUUACGUUUUGCUGUUUGGGAAAAUGUGUGUGAGGUUGUUGCCUGCUGUAUAAUAGUGCAGUUUGUGUGACAACGGAACUUUCCGUGGUGCGUAGUUUUGUGUUGGUUUCAUCAGAUGAUGAUUUCAAGCAAAGUGCGUGCCAUUUGUGAAAGUAUUGCUUCGUUAAUUGUGAAUGUAUUACCUGGUUGAUCCUGCCAGUAGUCAUAUGCUUGUCUCAAAGAUUAAGCCAUGCAUGUGUAAGCACACACUGUUUUAAAAGUGAAGCCGCGAAUGGCUCAUUACAACAGCCACAGUUUAUUAGAACUUACAAUCAUGGAUAACUGUGGUAAUUCUAGAGCUAAUACACGCACAAAAACUUCAACUGAAUUGGUUGAAGUGCUUUUAUUAGAACAAAAACCGAACGGCGUUUGACGAAUGUUGAACGUCGAAACUGUUUGGUGAAUCUGAAUAACUAUUUCUGAUCGCAUGGUCUAGCACCGGCGACAUCACUUUCAAGUGUCUGCCUUAUCAACCUUCGAUGGUAGUCUAUGCGACUACCAUGGUGAUAACGGGUAACGGAGAAUCAGGGUUCGACUCCGGAGAGGGAGCCUGAGAAACGGCUACCACAUCCAAGGAAGGCAGCAGGCGCGCAAAUUACCCACUCCCAGCUUGGGGAGGUAGUGACGAAAAAUAACGAGACGAAUUCUCGUUUGAGAAAACGUUAUCGAAAAUGAGUACGCUUUUACACACCCCUAACCAAGUUACAAUUGGGAGGGGG